GAAGUAAGGAUAGCAGCGGAUAGAAAACAAUGAAGUUUAUUCCUCUGAAAGAACAUGGAGAACCAGUUGUUAUUUCACCGCCACUUCCAUAGAACAGAUUGAGGAACUAAGCAGCAUCUGGAUGUACAUACCUGAGGAUCUUCUGCUUGUAGAAGCUCUAGAAAACACCUUGAGAAAAGUUGAAGAAGUGUUAUCAAGGUUUGCUAAAGAUGGGAUAUCUCUAUUGGAUCAAGAAGAGGAUAUCAAGGUACAAUACAAUCAAAAUCUUUUCGAAAAGCUACCAGAAGAAUAGAAGCUCUGGAGGGCUUAUUUUAGAAGCAUGAUAACCAUAGUUCUACCCAUAUCCAGGAAAAACUUAGUCUUUCAUGCUAAGCAAGAAUUAUCAGCUAAUAUAAAGUCCAUCAAGAAGCUCCAGGAUGGCCCCGAAGCCAAGGGAGCAGAUUGAUUUGCUCUUCUACCAAUUGCAGGAAACAGCGAGAAGGGUUGCUAACCUUCAGCUGGAGUGCAACAUCCAAAUUGACGUGGAAAGCUUUGCGAAUUCUUUCUGACCUGACAUAAUGGAAGUGGUGUAUUCAUGGGCCAAAGGGUCGAAAUUCUACCAAAUCAUGGAGAUGACUCAAGUGUUCGAAGGCAGCAUGAUCAGUGCCAUCUGGAGGCUGGAGGAGGCUCUUCAGCAGCUAAUUCUGGCACCCAAGUCGAUUGGGGAAACCAAAUUGGAAGCAAACUUGAGGAGGCAGUCAGCAAGAUCAAGAGGAAUCGAUGUAGCUUGUACAAGUAAAUUGGUUAGGAAUAGUCCAUCGACGGAAAUCUGUACUGAUUUUUGCCUUGUACACAAUCACAGACACUGAAAUCCAUUGUUUAUUAUUUUAGUCAGAAAUGUAUAUUAUUGCAAAGCUCAAUGUCACUUGAGUGUCAAGCACUACA